rfam:Myotis davidii contig323731, whole genome shotgun sequence.
CGUGGUUCUUGGGUGAGCACCCCAGAAUUAGGCUCUCUCCUCUCUGGUUCCAGGUGUAUCACCCGAGAACCGCA